CGCGCGGUAGAGCAGCUGGUAGCUCGUUGGGCUCAUAACCCAAAGGUCACAGGUUCAAAUCCUGUCCGCGCUA
rnacentral:tRNA from 2 species